UACAGAGGUCCCAAGCGUUGUUCGGAUUCACUGGGCGUAAAGGGUGCGUAGGUGGUGAGGUAAGUCGGAUGUGAAAUCUCGGAGCUCAACUCCGAAAUGGCAUUGGAAACUACCUCGCUCGAGGAUUGGAGGGGGGACUGGAAUACUUGGUGUAGCAGUGAAAUGCGUAGAUAUCAAGUGGAACACCAGUGGCGAAGGCGAGUCCCUGGACAAUUCCUGACACUGAGGCACGAAAGCUAGGGGAGCAAACAGG
rnacentral:rRNA from 1 species